GUAGGUGGCAAGCGUUGUCCGGAAUUAUUGGGCGUAAAGCGCGCGCAGGCGGUCCUUUAAGUCUGAUGUGAAAGCCCACGGCUCAACCGUGGAGGGUCAUUGGAACCUGGGGGACUUGAGUACAGAAGAGGAAAGCGGAAUUCCAAGUGUAGCGGUGAAAUGCGUAGAGAUUUGGAGGAACACCAGUGGCGAAGGCGGCUUUCUGGUCUGUAACUGACGCUGAGGCGCGAAAGCGUGGGGAGCAAACAGGGAUUAGAUACCCUGGUAGUCCACGCCGUAAACGAUGAGUGCUAAGUGUUAGGGGGUUUCCCGCCCCCUUAGUGCUGCAGCUAACGCAUUAAGCACUCCGCCUGGGGAGUACGGCCGCAAGGCUG
rnacentral:rRNA from 1 species